AUAGCCUAAACAGUAGGUUGCACGUAGAUGUUGUCCCGUGACUACUCAUAGGACAUAACGUAAAAUUGGUGUCAGACUAGCAAUAAUCCGCCAAGUUCCACAGUUAGCUCUCCCAGCCAUCUCGCAGCCAUGUAAAGUUGAACGUCGAACGUGCUACGAACAUAACUGCAGCACCAUUUGAACUUUUCGUCGACCACAAACAGUCAUUGAAGAUAAAUGAAAUUUCAAGGACGGUUUUCUAUGAUUCGCAAUUCUGUGCUGAGUCGUAAACGUUUCUCGAACCUGGUUGGCCGAAAAUGCCGAUAUACGGUAACGAAUCAGCACCUACCGGGAAAAAGAUCAGAAGAACCACGAAGAUCAUGCUUGACCGUUGUUAAUAUAGCAUGACGGUUCUCUAUAGCUACACUAUCUAACUCCCCGAGCCCCAAUGGCGCUAAACAGUGGUUCAGACGGACGCGCCUCAGAUGGCCACAGCCCACUACGGUAUAACCAGUCCCAAGGAUGGCCAACCCAGCUGACGCCUCCGUGCCAUAUACCAUAAACACAUACACUGGCCUGUCAUUCACGUAAGGUCCAACUGACCCAACGUAGAUACAAAUACAGAAUUGAGACUUGCUGGCGCCAUGGUCACCACAGCUCAUCGAAGACGGUGAAAACAGGAUAUCACGAGAUUACUGAGUCUGACUACCGCCUGAAUAGUGUCUGCCUCUGAACGCCAUGUUGGCUGACCCACGAAACGGCAAUUUCAUCGUCGUGCACUAACAUCAAGAAUACAGCGCAGUGCGGGAAUGCAAGCUUUUGCCUUUAGCAUCGCCCUAACUAACAGUCGGGCUCUGUUCACGCAGUCUCGGCUGUCGGAAAUGAAUGCGACGCGUAUCCCCUAUACGUAUUCGUCAGUUCCCUACCCCCGCAGGAACCGCACAGGUACCCACUACCAACUACCCUCGAACUGGCCAGCUGCGACAGUCUCUGUCGCACUGAUGGUAACGGCAACGCAGGCGACAUCACGAACCUACCUCAAGAGAGGACAGCCACUAUUAGAACAUAAGUGCCAUGGCUUUAACGAAGUUUCCGGCAGCAACCACUAACGGCCAACGGCCGUUUUGUAGUUCUGUCUCCACCGCAGAUAUUGUAACGAGCACGUAACACGAUACAACGGUAAAUCGGAUGUUGUUCAGGGGAACUCACCUAGGAAGCGAAUCGUUACCGUUGCCAAAUAACGUACUUAUUACGGAAGUGACUGUUCAGUUGGCGAUAGUGAAGUACAACUGACAUAAUAAAGAAUGCUUGCAUAAUGGAAAUACAAAGGUGACGGUGCCUCGGAGAGCUCCAAGGUGCAAGAAUGCAGAACCUUGUAGCUGCCUGAACGUUUCGACUCAAUUAAAGAGAACUGAGAG